AGUGGGAGAUAACGUAGCGAAAGUUACGCUAAUACCGCAUAUGCCCUGAGGGGGAAAGGAGGGGAUCGCAAGACCUUUCGCUUUCGGAGUGGCCGAUAUCGGAUUAGCUAGUAGGUGAGGUAAAGGCUCACCUAGGCGACGAUCCGUAGCGGGUCUGAGAGGAUGAUCCGCCACACUGGGACUGAGACACGGCCCAGACUCCUACGGGAGGCAGCAGUGGGGAAUUUUGGACAAUGGGCGCAAGCCUGAUCCAGCCAUGCCGCGUGAGUGAAGAAGGCCUUCGGGUUGUAAAGCUCUUUCAGACGGAAAGAAAUCGCGCUCAAUAAUACUGAGCGUGGAUGACGGUACCGUAAGAAGAAGCACCGGCUAACUACGUGCCAGCAGCCGCGGUAAUACGUAGGGUGCGAGCGUUAAUCGGAAUUACUGGGCGUAAAGCGUGCGCAGGCGGCUUUUUAAGCCAGAUGUGAAAUCCCCGGGCUUAACCUGGGAACUGCAUUUGGAACUGGAAGGCUAGAGUGUAGCAGAGGGGGGUAGAAUUCCA
rnacentral:rRNA from 1 species